GACGAACGCUGGCGGCGUGCUUAACACAUGCAAGUCGAACGGAAAGGCCUGCUUUCCCUUAUGGAUUGCGGGUACUCGAGUGGCGAACGGGUGAGUAACACGUGAGUGAUCUGCCCCCAACUUGGGUAUAAGCCUGGGAAACUGGGUCUAAUUCCCGAUAGGACUGCAGGGUGGUGCCUGUGGUGGAAAACGAUUUUCUAGUGGUUGGGGAUGAGCUCGCGGCCUAUCAGCUUGUUGGUGGGGUAAUGGCCUACCAAGGCGGCGACGGGUAGCCGGCCUGAGAGGGUGGACGGCCACAUUGAGACUGAGAUACGGCCCAGACUCCUACGGGAGGCAGCAGUGGGGAAGAUUGCACAAUGGGCGGAAGCCUGAUGCAGCGACGCCGCGUGGGGGAUGACGGCCUUCGGGUUGUAAACUCCUUUCGACCGCGAGGAAGCCACCUGGUUGGAAGGGUGGUGACGGUAGUGGUAGAAGAAGCACCGGCUAACUACGUG
rnacentral:rRNA from 1 species